rnacentral:rRNA from 1 species
UACGUAGGGGGCAAGCGUUUGUCCGGAUUUAUUGGGCGUAAAGAGCGUGUAGGCGGCCAGGUAGGUCCGCUGUGAAAACUCGAGGCUCAACCUCGAGAUGUCGGCGGAAACCAUCUGGCUAGAGUCCGGAAGAGGAAAGUGGAAUUCCCGGUGUAGCGGUGAAAUGCGCAGAUAUCGGGAAGAACACCCGUGGCGAAGGCGGCUUUCUGGGACGGUACUGACGCUGAGACGCGAAAGCGUGGGGAGCGAACAGG